AUGAGCAGCCUGGAAGAAGCACUGCUGCAGAAGCCGCCCCCGUCGGUGGUUGUGUGCCACCACGCCGCCGCGGCCUGCCACCAUGAGGGGUGCCCCGGGUGCGCCAUGGACCGGAGGAAGGAGAGCCUCCGCGGGAGGAUCCCUUACAAGGAGCUUUUCUUCGUCGCUGCCACCACUCUCGCUGGAUCUCUACCAAUCACGUGCCUCUUCCCCUUCAUGUAUUUCAUGGUUAGAGACUUCAACAUUGCUAAAAGAGAGGAAGAUAUUGGAUCCUAUGCUGGUUUUCUUGCUGCUUCAUACAUGAUUGGAAGAGCCAUUACCUCGAUAUUUUGGGGUAUUGCCGCAGAUCGUCUCGGACGAAAGCCUGUAAUUGUAUUUUCAAUGCUAUCUGUGGUCAUACUUCAGAUAUUCUUCGGGCUAAGUACAAAAUAUUGGAUGGCGAUUGCUGCAAGACUUCUCCUAGGUUCUCUAAAUGGAUUACUUGGACCAAUUAAGGCUUAUGCCAUUGAAGUUUGUCAAACUGAACACCAAGCUCUUGGCAUCUCAGUUGUGAAUACCGUGUGGGGCUUGGGUGUUGUUAUUGGUCCAGGUCUUGGUGGCUACCUUGCCCACCCUGCUGAAAAAUAUCCAGAGACAUUUUCCAAAGAGUCAGUUUUCGGGAGGUUCCCAUAUCUUUUACCUUGUCUCACUGUGUCAAUCUUUGCUGCCAUUGUUCUAAUAAGUUGUAUAUGGCUUCUGGAGACUAUACAUAAACAUAAGAUUACUGAAAAGGAUGUCAGAAUAGUCAAAGCCUUGCCAUCGCAACAGGCACAUUGGGAUAUGCCUCGUAAGAAGAGUUUGCUUCAGAACUGGCCAUGGAUGUCAACUAUGCUAUCAUAUUGUUUGUUUGGUCUUCAUGAAACGGCAUAUAGUGAGAUACUUUCCAUAUGGGCUGUGAGUGACAGAAAGUAUGGCGGCCUUAGCUUCUCAUCUGGAGAUAUUGGUCAGGUUCUUUCUGUGUCAGGUGCUAGUCUUCUUGUAUAUCAGCUUAUAAUUUAUCAUUGGGUUAAUAAAUUUCUCGGGCCACUCAAUUCAUCGCGCAUUGCUUCCUCUCUAUCUAUUCUUGUACUCGCUACGUUCCCCUUUAUGACAUAUCUAUCGGGAACAAAACUGUCUUUCGCUCUUUACGCUGCAGCCAUGACGAAAAGUGUUCUCGGAAUUACUAUCAGUUGUGGAAUGUGCCUUCUUCAGAACAAUGCAGUGCGUCAAGACCAGAGAGGCACUGCAAAUGGUAUAGCGACAACCGGCAUGUCGUUUUUCAAGGCAGUUGCUCCAGUAGGGGCAGGAAUUCUAUUCUCAUGGGCGCAAAAACGUCACGAUGCCACCUUCUUCCCAGGUGAUCAAGUGGUAUUCUUGAUGCUGGUUGUGGUGCAGCUCUGUGGACUGAUAUCUACCUUCGAGCCAUUCCUGGUCUUGCCUCCAGUAGAAGAAUGUCGGUAG
rnacentral:rRNA from 1 species